rnacentral:rRNA from 1 species
AUUGAACGCUGGCGGCAUGCCUUACACAUGCAAGUCGAACGGCAGCACGGGUGCUUGCACCUGGUGGCGAGUGGCGAACGGGUGAGUAAUACAUCGGAACAUGUCCUGUAGUGGGGGAUAGCCCGGCGAAAGCCGGAUUAAUACCGCAUACGAUCUACGGAUGAAAGCGGGGGACCUUCGGGCCUCGCGCUAUAGGGUUGGCCGAUGGCUGAUUAGCUAGUUGGUGGGGUAAAGGCCUACCAAGGCGACGAUCAGUAGCUGGUCUGAGAGGACGACCAGCCCCACCGGGACCUAGACCCCGCCCCAACCCCUACCGGAGGGCGGCGUGGGGAAUUUUUGACCAUGGGCCGAAGCCUGAUUCAGCAAUGCCGGGUGUGGGAAAAAGGCCUUCCGGUUGUAAAGCCCUUUUGUCCGGAAAGAAAUCCUUGGCCCUAAUACGGUCGGGGGAUGACGGUACCGGAAGAAUAAGCACCGGCUAACUACGUG